rnacentral:rRNA from 1 species
AUUGAACGCUGGCGGCAGGCCUAACACAUGCAAGUCGAGCGGAUGAAGGGAGCUUGCUCCUGGAUUCAGCGGCGGACGGGUGAGUAAUGCCUAGGAAUCUGCCUGGUAGUGGGGGAUAACGUCCGGAAACGGGCGCUAAUACCGCAUACGUCCUGAGGGAGAAAGUGGGGGAUCUUCGGACCUCACGCUAUCAGAUGAGCCUAGGUCGGAUUAGCUAGUUGGUGGGGUAAAGGCCUACCAAGGCGACGAUCCGUAACUGGUCUGAGAGGAUGAUCAGGCACACUGGAACUGAGACACGGUCCAGACUCCUACGGGAGGCAGCAGUGGGGAAUAUUGGACAAUGGGCGAAAGCCUGAUCCAGCCAUGCCGCGUGUGUGAAGAAGGUCUUCGGAUUGUAAAGCACUUUAAGUUGGGAGGAAGGGAAGUAAGUUAAUACCUUGCUGUUUUGACGUUACCAACAGAAUAAGCACCGGCUAACUUCGUG